rnacentral:pre_miRNA from 1 species
AUGAAGUUCAGUUUUCAAAAUUUAGAUAUAAUUAUUUAACUAUUCGUCCUAUUUAAAAUUAUUUUGUAAUUAAUAUUUUUAUUGUUACUAGAUGAUAAACAUGAAUAAUACUUUAUGUGUGAAUUUUUUAAAGUUUUUUAUAUAAUUUUUUUAAAUAAGACGAAUGAUCAAAUAUUGGAUACAGAAAUCGAAAAAUGAAGUUAUC